rnacentral:rRNA from 1 species
AUUGAACGCUGGCGGCAGGCCUCACACAUGCAAGUCGAGCGAGCGGCGGACGGGUGAGUAAUGUAUGGGGACUGCCCGAAAGAGGGGGAUAACAACAGGGAACGGUGGCUCAUAUCGCAUCUUGUCGGAUAACCCAUAUGGGAUUAGCUAGUAGGUAGGGUACUGGCUUACCUAGGCGACGAUCCCUAGUUGUUCUGAGAGGGUGAUCAGCUGCACUGGGACUGAGGCACGGCCCAGACGCCAACGGCGGCAGCAGUGGGGAAUAGGGCACAAUGGGCGCAAGCCUGAUGCAGCCAUGCCGCGUGUAUGAAGAAGGCCCUAGGGUUUUAAGGUACUGUCAUUCGGAAGGCGUGACCCACAGAAGAAGCACCGGCUAACUCCGUGCCAGCCGCCGCGGUAAUAC